CAUUUCGUCAAACAUAUUGUAAGUAAUUUCAUGAAGGUAUUUAUAUUCAAAGCAAAGUGAGAGGUUAAAAUUCAUAUCAACACAAGACAUGUUAACGAACUAAGAAUCACCAAAGUAACAUCAAAAUUGAUUGGAGUUUAACUUGAGAAGUUGCCAGAUUUAAAACAUUGAACGUAAAGAGGGAGAGAACACACAGAGCCGCAAUAGCUAAAAGAACCACAAGAAUUUCGAGAAGUCUCCUAAAAUGUCUAACAAAGGCCCAAAAAAAAAAAAAAAUCAGUGCUACCUGAUGCAGAGUCCAAAGCUAACAAAUCGUAACCAGAAACAAGACCAACCUGCCAAAGAAAACCAUUCAUGAGCAUUUUAUCAUGGGAAUCUAAGGAACAUCCCAUCCCGAGGAACGGAUGGCAUGGAAUGAGCAACCACACGUGGAAGACAGAUCAACACAGUACCCCAAAAAGCAAGACUGAUGGUGGGAUCAACGGCGCGAACUCCAGUGUCGUCGGGCGAUGUUGAAGCGUCGUCGAGGGGGACGUCGAGAUCGAACCUCACGAACACCCUCUACAAUCGGCCUCCUGCAGAGACCCGACGCUCUUCUUGGUCGCCAUUUCUGCGGAUAAAAAUCAGUAAAGGCGCAAGGUCUAGUCAAAAACUGAAGAAGAUCCGGUCGAAGAUGGGAGUUGGUGACCGAAAAUCUCACCGGGUGACGAAGGUACGGCAAGGAGAACAAGUGGGAGAGGAGAUCAAGCAGAGACAACUGUGAGCCUCGUGACUGCCAAGAUCAUUACAAUGUCGAGAUCGAGCCACAAGAGCGAAAAUCCGAGGGAGUAAGAAAUCGGGAGAGGGAUCUUAUAUACCGAGGGGGCUUCGUUCAUUUUAUCAGAAGACGCGGAAGAGAGAGAGAGAGAGAGAGAGAGAGGAUAGGGUGUGGUACGGUGCGGUGUACUUGAAGAGGGAGGAUGCAAUAAAUAAUAUUAGGUGGGUUGGCGACGCCGUGAGAGGAUGCAAGAGUUUUUAACAGGUGGGCCCAAAUUUGACACAUGUCACCCGUUGAUUAGAUUGUGUAGAACUGAUAUGAUAUGACUUAGGCACCUAAUAUUUUCUCUCGGUUGACGACCUUGCGAUGAACAGUUCGAUUCCGAAAUUUAUUCACUUUGUACUGUAGGGAAAAAAAAAAAGGCAAAGAUCAUUCGAAUCAAGCAAAUUUAGUCAACGAGGGUUGGUGCGAGCGUUGAGAUGACAGAGAAUUCCGCGUAUUAAAUUUCCACUUUAUCUAUCUAUUUACUUGAAUUGUAUAUUUGUUUCUGACUUGAAGGACUCUAAUUUGAUCGACUCUUUAUAUAGAAACAUGGCACGAUCAUAAUGUUGAUCAUUUGAGAAGAUGAGUACAAGGAUUUUUUUUUUUACUGGUCACUAGUAUAUUAAUUUAUUAGCUAGAAAAAGAACUUGGACACAUACUUUUGCUAUCUUCACACUUGCCCCCUGUGUAUGUCCUUUAAUGUUUUGGAAUUACAGGCAAUUAUUUCACGAUGCAUCUAUUUUCUACGAUUGAUUUGCUCUCCGCUCGAUUACGCGUAUCACAUUACACCUUUUGUCACUCUUAUCUUCAUUGUCAUCUUUGUCACGAUCGCAACGGGUUCCUUCUCAUCCCUUCUAGUCACUUUUGUCAUUCUCCAUGACCUUUCCUCUAAUUUGCCAUCCCUAAUGCUUGUAGAGUUUUGAGUGGAUACCCCGACUAAAAUAAAAACUCUCUUAUUUUUUAUUACAAGAAAGCUCACACCACUCACGCGAACACACUCCUUUACUUUUUGGACUCCACAUGUAGGAGACUUUCUUCUCAACACUGAAGACUUUCUCAAAAUACUCAUGCUAAGCGCUUGCUUCACUCUUGCUUUAGUGGUGAGUGGUGUCAACUGUCUCUUUCUUAUAAUAAUAACAGAGUGUUAGAGCUGCGCCUCUUAAGCUCAAUAGUUUUGAAGAGUAAAAACGCAAUUUCCCUAUCAUUGUCUAAAUUAUGAUGCAGUGUGUAUUCAAGUUGCAAUUAUGCUUAUCAAUUACGAGAGUGAGAAAAAGGAGAAAUUAUUGUUAUUCAAAAUUGAAUCUGAAUGCUUGCUGAACCUGAACUCUAAGUCCCUAAAGCUCUUCGACAUCAGAGUGUGUGAACUUGAAGCAGUUAAGAGUACCCUUAGAUGCAGGAGGCAUCGCAAGUCACACAUUGCAAAGUUUUUGGCUCCUAGUUUGAGGCAUCAUGUUGCCAAGCUCGGUCGACUAGAGGCUGCUCAGCCAUACAUUAAGAUUCUUACUAUGUUGGAGAUGAGGAUGCUCAUUGAGUUUGCAGAAGUUGGAUAGCUCAUCUGGUCAUGACGGUAAUGUGAUGAUUGACUAUGGAACAAAGUUUCAUGCGAUAUUCAAUUCUUUUUUGCGCUGUUUUCGACGGUUUUGUUCUAGUCGAAUGAGAAUUUUUGAAAUCUAAUUUCUUGUAUUGCAAAUAAUCUCAGCAUAAAUUGCACAAAUUUUUCUUCUUUUUUUUGGGUCAGAAAAGCAUCACUUUCAUUCAUAAAGAAUAAUUCUACCAAAAAAACAAAUAAUCAUAAAGAAGAAGUUUGUGAACACAAUCCUGUAGCUUCAGAAAAUCAAGAACUGAUGCGUUGCUGCCUCUUGAACUCAGCGUAGAUCACUUGGGUGAUUACUGCGGUUAACACCGGAGCCCAAUCUCUUCUUUGGGCUUUUCCUCAUUUUAAACUGGCCCAUAUCAAGAAGAGCCCAAUAGAGUUGUAGGUUCAAAGAACAAAUAGCUUGCCACGAAAUUGGAUCUGCUACCUUCUCCCGGCCCUGUGAGAACUCCCUUUGUUCUGAAAUUGCACAAAUGUAAGUUCUUGGUUUUCUGGCCCAGAAAGAACCUUAUUUAUUUUCAUUUUAUCAGAUUUUUUUUUUUUUUUUGGCGCAGCCCAGUAAGCAUUAUGCAGGGAACUUUCCUUAAUGCAUCAAAAUGUCAAAGGUCGAGUCAAAAUAUAAUUUCUAUUAUCAACUGCAACAUCCUUGAUAAAAGAUCAUAUGUUAGACAAAAGCGUUACUUCCCAUGGAUAUCGUUUAAGACAAUUACCAAAAAAUUCAUAAACUUGUAACACAUAUGCCAACUCAGUUCUAAAUUUUUCAAUUUAGCUUUAUCUUAAACCAUUUGAACAUUUACCAAUUUAGUUAUCUUAACUAGAAAUCACUAACAUAGACGACAGUCCUACGUAACAUGAUCGAUGCUAAAAUAGGCAAUUUAUGCAAUUAUUUUUCUUUUUUUUCCCUUUUUUAUUUAAAAAAAUUAUAAAAAUACAAAAAUUGUUCCUGUUAGCGAUGAACAGUGUCCAUAUAAGUGAUUUUCAGCCAUUUUUGGGCAAAAUGACUAUAUUGGCAAUUUGUCAAAUGGUUUAAGACAAAAUUAGUCAAAUUGAAAAAUUUCAUACUAAGUUUGCAUGGUGAGAUAAGUUUAUAACUUUUUCUUGUUUUUCCCAAUUUAUAUCUGAUUGCAUUCAAGAAACUUAAAUGCGAAGUUGUUAUUUUAAAUAUUUAUUCAUCAUUAAUAACUCUCGAAAUUCAAGUAAUCUGUACAUUAGUUUUAUUACAACAUCAAUGACAUACGCUACCUUUGAUAUUUUGUUUAGGUUUGCUUGAGCAUUUGGGGAAAUAUGCAUAAUGGGAAACGAUGAACCUCUGCUACUGCUGCUGCUGCUAUUGUGACAAUAUGAGCUAUGGAAUGGAAAGAUGGUGCCGCACAAGCAAAGUGAUUGUAAGGCUGUUUUGUAUCUACAAACGUAAUCGACCCCACCAAGGAUCUGAGAAACACUUUUGAUUCUUUGCACUGGAAAUUUUUAGUGCCCGAAUAUGUAUGAUUUUGAGAGUUCAACCGCUUGUUCUUUUGCACUUUAGCGUCGUCUUUGUGUGAACGGGAUUCAAAACCAGAGCCGCGUCCAUCAUUGUUUGGUUCAAAUUGUUAAUGGAGGUGAAACAUGGGAGAAUCCCAUGCAUCAGGUAGACUGUCCGCAAGAAUAUUUCAGGGUCGUUUAGAGAGAGAUGUCAGUGCUUUAGUGAUGGAAGAACUCACUAAGUAGUGGCGGCAUCGAUGCACCCGAUACAUGAACGACAUUAGAUAUAUGCGAGUACAAGCAUCUACAUCUCUUUCUCGACCACCCUUUAUUGUUCAACAAACCUAUGUACAGAUCUUGCCGGCAGCUCCUGGUCUAUAUAGGAGUGUUACUACGGUAGAUCUAGAGAGAAACUAGUUUGCGUGAGUUGGGGAUUCCGUUUACUGAGUCCUAACUUCGACGAGUCUUCUUCAUUGACUUCCCCAGCUCUCUUUGUGAGCCUAAACUCUCUCUGGUAUUCAUUUGGAACGGCUAUUGCGGCCUAGAUAUUGGUAGUCAAUGCCCAAUAUUUUCUGCCUCUUGGGAGCGUCGCAUUCCUCGGUCUUUGUGAAUCUUGCAUGAAUCCUGGGUUGACUGUGCGCGAGCGCCUUCCUACAUGAGUACUGAGAACAACACGAUCCCAUUAACGCACUGGGGAAGCCAAGGCACACGCUUGAAGGAAAUGAGGACAAAAGAUGUAUGAAACAUCUAUGCAUAAUGUUAGGGAGUUGACUCUCUCUUUUGUGGGCAUUCACUUACUGAACUUCUGAAGAACUUCUCAUGUGAUUCUACGGAAUGUACUUAAGGUUCUCCGCAUGAGGGAUCAUUAGUAAGGCAGUGAUGGAGCGACGACAUAUAGAACUUUGCCUAAGUCGAGGAAAUUACAUAGUAUGAGCGUCAGCUAUUCAACGUCAAGGGUGAAAAUUAUCAUUUGCACUAGCAGUGUACCGAGCAAUGUCCUUAGUUUUUUGUCAAGAAUACACGGGAACGAAUUAGGUAGCAACGCGAUGUUCGUGAGAAAAAAAGAAAUGCCACACUCGAUAAGGAUAAGAGGCAGUGCAGUUCACCGGGGGUGCUGUUGAAGGAGGCACCUUGAGGGCUACCUCGGUGGUGUUUGCUUGCUUCACUUAUCUUCUUUUCCCUUCUACCACUCUUCCACUUUCUUUUAAGACCACUGCUCGAACCUCUGACUCCCUUCUUAUUUGUGUUUGUGUCUUUUUCUUGAAUUAAACCUCAACUGCUCCUUUCCCUUCGCAUGCACGUGUAAGAGCUCCGCUCUUCAAUUAUGAACCGUUUUCUAACUGUGGAUGUGCCCGUAUGUUUGUUCUUCAAAUUGUGAACCUCCUAUUCUGAACUCUGAAAGCAGCAACUCAGAAGAGAAAGUCUAGGGUUUCUUGCAAGUAUCUUUUUCCUAUUUUAAAUCAAUGGAUAUACACAAUAUUUAAGUAUUGGAAACCUUUCCUUUAAUCCCACAUUGAUUUCAUUACUAACCAAGUCUGCAUAUAACAAAUCAAUUUCCCAACUUGGCACCCAUAUUAUAAAUUUCGGCCAUUUAUAGAUAAACAAGUUUGGCCAAAUUUUCAAUUUAUAAGAACUUAGUCCAAUCAAUUCAACUCGUAAACCUUUUUGCUUAAAUCCAAAAGGUCGAAUGCUUCUAAAGUGCUAAUACAAAUUUAAAAUAUUUUUUUUUAGGAGUCAGGAUCGAUCCCUAAUUUUGUAUGUAAUAAAUAGGUUAUCAAAAAUUAUGUGGCAAAACACUAAUACUAGUUCUUCCUCUACCUUUACCUACUAAAACACAAAUGCAAGUACAUCGGAUUCUUUCAUACAAAUGUCCUCACUUUGAUUCAAAUUGCGAACCUCAUCAAAUAUCAAGCUUGUUGACCUAGGCAGUAACAAUAGUAUUCCAUUUAUGAAGUAAAACUAGGAUCAUAGAAUCAAAAUAUCCACCUCAUCAUCAAAGUCAAUCUCAACAAAAUUCAAUUGAUUGACAAUCACAUUGAGUUCAUUACUAUGAUUAGUAACGAACACAUUUUUUCCCAUCUUUAAGUAAAACAUGUGUCAUAUCAAAUGACUUUCAAAGGUCUUCUAAUACAUGUUCGAUAGGCUAUUCAUCAAGCUCACAAUGGUGUUGACAACUUUACUUUUUUGACUAUCAAAAUGUGCAAUUUUUAUGGAGAAAUAUGAAAAUAGCAAAAUUAGUAAAAAUAAACAAAAAAAUAUAGUAGCGAUUGUAAUAAAUAAAUCAAAAGAAAUUUUUGAGAGAGAGAGAGUAAGGGAGAGAGAAGGGAAGAGCCUAGUCCGGCCUUCAAUCCCCAAGCCUCCAGUGUUGGGAUUUUUGGAUGGACUGAGGAGAAUACACACAGGGAGAGAGACAAGAAACGGCGGGCAUUGAGCCAUGAGAAAGGAGCGAACGACGAUUCUUGCUUCCGGUGAAGUCUUCUCACGAGAUCCUCGCCCAACGACCGAUUCGUGUCCGUCAUUCCUCGCUACCCCGGGACCUGGUUUCCCCCCCUCAUUCAUCUCUGUUUUUCAGCCACUCGACUGGCGACCGUGAAACGCCCUCUUCCACAAACGAGGUUGGCCAAACUCGGACCCCCUUUUGUUCUGCUCUGUCUCGGUCGACCUGAAGACCGAGACUUGUCUUCUCCGAUUAUGCGUGUGUAUAGUAAGGUCUCGAGCGAGUCGUCUCUAAUUUUUUGGGAAUGUCACUUGCUGCUUGCUUUUGAUUUUGGACGCAACCUCGAGCCCCCAAUAAACUGGUGUCCUCCCCUUAGCCGAUGCACCCUGUAUGUUUUGAUCAAAUGCCCUUCAGACGAUCCCGUAAAAACAGCCACUGUUUUUGCCAUGUCCGGAGCUCAUGUAUCGUUGUUUUGAUCGUUAGUCACUGAGUUUGUCUCGUGUGAAGCCUUAUCUGGUUGAUCGUGGCUGCUGUGGUUGUUUCUUUCGUAUACUCCCAUGCUUGUUACCUUGGUAGUGUUUAUCCGGUGAUGGCCAGCGACAAGUUCUCUGGUGAUCAACGACUUUCAGGGUUAGUCGCCAGCCGGCUCAAGGCCGCUCGUCUUUGGCCAUCCCCAAGCUGGCAAGCCGGCCAUCGACGAAGAUGAUUAAUGGCCGGCGAUAAUGACCUCUUGGUGGUUGGCGACGGUGUCUGUCGGUUAGGGUAAUGGGAUUUAGUGGCGAUGCAUAAAUUGUCCAUAGUCGAAAGCUUGAAUGUGUUCACGUGCGAGUCGGCGAGUGUUUUUAGCCUCCUGGGGAAAGAAAAGACGGGGAGUUCUUGGGAAGAAAGAAUGAAAGCUCAGCUUGAGUUUGGACUAUGCGAUUAUGGUAUUCUACUUGGACUGGGCUUAGUGUAGUUUAGGGGGCCUUGGGCUUAAUUCGGUCGUACAAGAAGUUGAGCUUAGGACUUGAUUUGUUUUUCUUUAGAAAUUUGGGCUUACAAUGAUUUCGAAUUUGGGGUCGUGGCGGCCCUAGGUGAGCUUGGGCUUGGCUUAGUUUGAUUUGGUGGGGGCUAGGGAGUGCUCAAUUUGAAAGUUCAAUUGAGUCCAUGAGCCGAGUUUCCUGAGACCAGUCGCUGCGCACAUUGGGCAGGGCCCAAGGGCCUGGGCCCCCAUUUUCAGAUUGAAAGAAUUAUUUUUUAACAAAUUACCUUUUUUUUUUUCCCCAGUGACCACCCUUCCAACAUGGAAGAGGGAGGUGAGGGGUUCAAAUCCCCAAUGGGGUGAGGACGCGUAAGUUUCAAGAGUGGGUUUCGACUCCCACGCCUUGCACGAGGCAGGGCAAAAGUCCGAGAAUGAGUGUAGAGUAUGAAUAGAAUAGGACUGACCAAAAAAAAAAUUACCUUUUUUUCAAAAAGUAUUUUAAUUUUUCUAAAACCUAGGAAAAAUCUUAAAAAUUAGUUUUUUUAGUAGUUUUCUCUUAAAAUGUAUGGAUAGAUAAAAAUCAUAAUAUUUUUUUUUCUUCCAAUAGUUGCACUACAUUAAAAUGGUAAAUUCUUUCAAUAGUUGCCACUUCACUAAUAAAAUCUUGGCCAUCGACCUUGGAUUGCUUUAAAAUUUGAUGGCCACUCACCCAGUUUAUGCUUACAAUUCUUGGUGAUCUUCUUAAUGUUUGAGUAAGAGUACCUUAUAGACAAAAAGUUGUUAUGAGCUUACAAGAAUUCUUCGAUGUUCUUGUCCAUUGCUAAGUGCCUUGCUCUAUACUUGUAGAUUAGAAAUAUCAUGACAAAUGGCAUCCUGAUUAUGAAUUUCACUGCACAAAAUUGAACUAAGGAAAAUUUUGAUAAGUUAAAUUAAGUACUUUUAUUUUUAUUACUAUGAGAACAAAUCAUUGCGGCUCACCUAGCAGUACUACAAACUCCAUGGCUGUCAAAAAGGCAAGAUCAUCCAGGACACUUGUGGAAGGAACAACUGAUGUGAAAAGGAAUCGAAGGAAAGGAAAUGGGGUCGUAUAAAUUGAAUUGUGUCCAAAAGAAUAUGAGAAAGGGGAUGCGUUCAUUUGCAAAUAAAUGGAAAUAAUAAACUAUACAAGAAACUCCUUUUGCUUUGUUGGCAGUCAACAAAAUAUAGAGAAACGGUGAUUUCCAUAGUUAAUAAAAUGUGCUUCCUAUCUAUGCAUGAAUACAAUUAAGGAAUUUGCUAAUGAGUGUCUUGAAUUGUCAGUUUAGUAACUAAUUAAGAUUAUAAGAAAAACCUAAACUCUAUACCACGGAAAAGCUAGUUAUCUGGCUGCUCCUUUUUUUUCCUCUUACAUUGGGAGUUCUACGCCUUCCAUAGAAAGAAAUUAUAAUCUCGGCACAUGUAUACGUGCAACUGAAAUUGGAUCUAUGUGUGUUUUUGUUUUUGGUGUGUUUUGUCGCCCCGGGGGGGGGGGGGGGGGGGGGGAGCAUCCCAUCGACAAAGAAACGAGCAUCUCUCUCUCUCCAUUGCUUCCUUUGAUACAUCAUCUUUCAUUUUAGUUUUUUCUUUUUUUUUCUCCUCCCUUCUUCUUCCCCAUCUUCUUUCUUUACCGCCCCCGCGAUCAUAAUAAAAUGGAUUUAUAGUUUUGAGGAAGAAGAUCGAAAAUUAAAAACUAGAAAGACCAAUGGCACAAGGUACAAAGCUGUGGAAUGGAGGGGAAAAAUCGUGUCCCUCUCAGCCUGUGAGCAAUGGAAAUUUGGGGCUUUGUAUGUGGUGGAGGAUCAAAAAGAAUAUGAACAAUUGACAAAAACAAAAUCAAUCAAAUCGAGAAUGAUACAAUCACCAUUUCUUUCUAGUGAAAUAUCAUACAACUCAUAUGAUUAGCUGCGCAUGACAUCAUUUCAUAUUUUUGGAGAAUCUUUCUUAGAUAAGUAAGGUUUCCAUAUUUUCAGAGAUAUUUAUGAUGUUAAAAGUUUUUUUUUCAAGAUGACACGAAAGCCAUCUUAGAUUAAUGAUUGCACACAUUCAAUUAAGGGGAAAAAAAAUUAAAAAAUCGAAAGAAUUAUCUGCUUUAUGCUAUUAUUAUCAAAAAAAUUUCAUGAGGUCAUUAGAGUAAAAGACUUAAAACUUUAUCAUUUACUUUAUAUCUUUGAAGAGAAUAGGAGACUUCAAAGUCAACAAAAACAAAAGUUGGAUGGGGCUCACCAUGAAAGGAUCAUAGUUUAAUGGAUGUUGUCGAAAAAUAUUGUGUAGCAAAUAUAUAAUGGAGAGAAUAAAGAGAGAUUAAGUAGAUAAACAUUAAAGAUAGUAGAGAAAGCCAAACACCAAAGAUCGUAGAGAAAGCUAGAUGAGAAAUUUUUAUUUCACUCUAUCACAACUAUGAAAAAACUGAACUCUUAUUUAUAAGAAAACAAUGAUGCAUUUAUCAUUAAUGUCAAUGUAUUGAAUAAUACAUAUAUUGGAUAAGGAGAUAUACUUAGAAUGUAGGAUACAAAUGUACCAUAAUAAGUACAUUAGAUAAGAUGAAUAAAAUGAAUAUUCAUUCAUGUAUUUCAUAGCACUCCCCCUUGAAUAUGCAUUGUAUUUAUUAUACUACGAAUGUGCAUUGAAUAAUACAACCUCAUUAAAAAUCUUAAGCCAGAAAAAUCCAAUGGGACAAAAACCGAACAAAAGGGAAAAACAGUACAGACACAAAUUUUAUGAUCUCUCCCUUUUAUGGAUGCAUUGAUUGCCUUGUUAUAAACUUUAAGUCGGAAAAAUAUUGUGGGAAAAAAACGGAUAGAAAGAAAAAAGAGUGCAAUACAUAGUUCAUGAUAUCUCCCCCUCAAGUAAGCCAUAUAGCCACUGCUGGGGCUAGUCAAUUAUGCAUCUUGUGAACUCGCCGCAUAUCAAUGCCAUUUACUAAUUUCUCAAAAGUUGACGUUGUAAAUGAUUUGAUAAAAAGAUCUGAAGAUUAUUUUUGGAUUAAAUCUGUUUAACAUCAAUUUGUUGCUUCUUUGGGAGUUCACGAGUACAGAAAAAUUUCGGCGAGAUAUACUUGGUCUUAUCACCUUUGAUAUAUCCUCCUCUAACUUGUGCAACACAAGCAAAAUUAUCUUCAUAAAUUAUGGUAGGAGAAUUUGUAACCGGUAUUAAACAACAAGAAUUGUGAAUAUGCAUUAUAACGGAUUUUAACCAAGCACACUCCCUUUCGACUUCAUAUAAAGCAAUAAUUUCAGAGUGGUUAAAAGAUGUAGUUACUAGUGAUUGCUUCAUAGAACGCCAAGAAAUAGCGGUAUUAUUAUAACAAAAUUAAUAACCGGUUUGAGAGUGAACCUUAUAUAGAUCAGAUCUAUAUCCAACAUCAGGUUAUCCAACUAAAUCAGAGAUAGUAGAAUCCUUGGAAUAAUAUAAUCACAAAUAUAUGGCUCCUCGGAGAUAAUGAAAAUAUGUUCAAAAAAUAUGUUCAACUCCAUUCCAAUGUUUCCGAGUUGGCUUAGAACUAAAAUGUGCCAAAAAAUUUACUACAAAAGCGAUAUCUUGUGUCGUACAUUGUGCCAAGUACAUCAAAACCCCAAUUACAUUGAGAUAUGGUACUUCAUAACCAAGUAUCUUUUCAUCAUAUUCUCUAGGAUGAAACGGAUUCUUUUGGGGAUUUAGAAACCUUAUAACCAUAGGAGUCCUCAAUGGGUGAGCCUUAUCCAUUUUGAAUCAUUUAAGUAAUCUUUCAAUGUAUGCUAAUUGAUUGACAAUUAUUCAAUUUGCUUUAUGCUCAAGCUCUAAACCAAAACAAAGUUUAGUUUUACCCGAAUCUUUGACUUCAAACUCUCUUUUCAAAUAUUCAGCAAUCUUAGCUAACUUUUUUGAAGUUUCAAUUAAAUUUAUAUCGUCGACAUAAAUUAUUACAAUAACAAAUCCGAUUUCUAAUUUCUUAAUAAACACGCAUGGACAGAUAGGAUCAUUCUUGCACAUUUCCUUAAUUAUGUACUCAUUUAGGUGUUGAUACCACAUGCAACCAGAUUGCUUUAACCCAUACAAAGAUCUUUGCAAUUUUGUUGAGAAUAAGUUGCAGGGAGUGCAUGCAUCAGGCAUUUUAAAUCCCUCAUGAAUUUUCAUAUAAAUAUCAGAGUCUAAUGAGCAAUAUAGAUGUGCUGUCACAACAUCCAUAAGACGCAUUUCUAAUAUUUCAGAAAGUACCAGGCUAAUGAGAAAAUAAAAUGUAAUCAUAUUCAUCACAAAUGAAUAUGUCUCAUCAUAAUCAAUCCCAAGUCUUUGGGAAAAAUCCUUAGGCAACGAGUUAGGCUUUAUACCUAACAACUUUUUUUUUUCCCAUUUAGUUUCCAGAUAAAUACUCAUUUAUAUCCAACGGGUUUUAUAUUAUCAGAGAUUCGAGUUACGGGUCCAAAAACCUCUCGUUUAGUUAAGGAAACUAAUUCAACCUUAUUUGCUUUCUCACACUUAGACCAAUUUUGCCUUUAACGGCAUUCAAUAAUAUAUCGCGGCUUACAAUUAUCAUUUAUAAUUUUAUGGGCAACUAAGAAUGCAAAAACAUCAUCAAUGAUGAUUUUAUUUCGAUCACAAAUCUCAUUACAAUAUGUAAUGGAAUUUUUAGUAUUUCCAAGGUUGGUGUUCUUUUCAUGGGUUUGCGCCUCUUCAUGAGCAAUAAGCUCUUUGGGAACAAGCACAACACCAAGCUCUUGUAGAAUGGAUUCCUGAUUCUUUCCCCUUCAUUUUUUAAAAAUAGUGUCUUUUGAUUCUAUCGGUCUACCACACUUCAAGUGUGGGUAUUUUGAUCUAUUUUAGCAUGUUCUUUGAGAAUAGCUAUCCUAACUAGAGCAUUUGCAGUUGGAAUAUGAGACUCAGCAACCUUAGUUGCAUCAUUAAAUGUGUCAGGAAGUCUAUUGGUCAUAGCCUAUAAAUGGAUUAUGCGCUGCACCUCGUUCUCGCAUUCAAGAUUUCUUGGAUUUAAUUAAGAUAAAUUUUUCUCAUUUCAGGAGAAAACCUUAAUUGGUUUCCACUUUGUAGUCAUGGAAGUUGUAGGUGUCGUAAUUGAUGGAAACAUAGUCUCACCAAAAUGACAAUCUGUGAAUCUGGCAGUAAAAAGAUCAUCAGUAGUUGGUUCCAAGAACCCAAUGAUAAAUAGUGAAUUAAACCCAACACAAAUGCCCAAACGGCGUUAGGGACUCGUUUUUGUCCUUUUUAGCAGUGUUAUAGGCAACUAUACUGCACAACCAAAGGUAUGUAAAUAAAAAAUAUUAAGUUCAUAACCAAGAACCAUUUGAAGAGGAGAUUGUAAAAGACUAACAAUGGGGCACAAUCUUAUUAGGGCUGCCGCAUGCAAAACUGCAUGACCCCAUGCUAUAUCGUUGAAAUUUGUUCUCAAUAAUAAAGUGCAGGUAAUGAUUUGAAUAUAUUUAAUUAAGGAUUAUGUUAAUCCAUUUUGAGUAUGAACUUAUGUGAUCGGGUGCUCAACCACGAUACCAAGUGAAGCGCAAUAUGUAUCAAAACUCUUUAAUGUAAAUUCACCAUUAUUAUCCAUCCUUAUGCUUUUAAUUUGAUAAUCAGAUAAUUGUGCCCGGAACUUUAUAGUCCGCGCAAGUAAACAUGCAAAUGUGACAUUACGCGUAGAUAAUAGACAAAUAUGGGACCAUCUACAAAAUGCGUCCACUAGUACCAUAAACUAUCGAAAUGGUCCACUCAGUGCUUGUAUUAGUCCAUAAAUAUCAUCUUGAAUUCUUUGCAAGAAUAAAGGGGAUUCAAAAUUAACAUUUGUUAUAGAAGGUUUGGUAAUGAGUUUUCCUAAUGAGAAAGCUUCACAAUUAUAUAUUUUGGAUAACAAUACAUUUGUAUCAUUUAAAGGGUGUCAUUUUGUAUUAUGAAUUCUUCUACGAAUCAUUGAAGCGCGAGGGUGACCAAAGCGAUCAUACCACAGUCCAAAUUGAUCGGGGUUUACCAAUAUCAAGGAUAUAAUGAUGGACUUUAAUCAUGACACAAUAUAAAUCUAUAGAAGAGGCUUCUAGCUUCUCAUGGAUGGACUUUUGGUCAAUCUUAUAAGAGAUAAUGUCAAUUUAUUCCUUAUCUUGCUCAUAAAUAGUCUUAAUAUAAUAUCCAUUACAGCGUACAUCUUUGCAGAUGAGCAGAUUCAUUUUUGAUCUACUGCUUAGAAAUGCAUUUUCAAUAUACAGGAUGGUGCCAUUUGGCAAAACAAUUGUGGCAUUUCCGAAACCAUCAAUAAUCGAAACAAGAUCUGAUAUUGUAUAGACAUGAGCCUUACGCAAUGUCAUACUCGAGAAAACACAUCUACUACAAAAUAUGAUAUGUGUUGAUGCACUAUCAAGCAAACAAACAUCUUCAUUUUUCUCAACAUUUUCCGUUUGCAUUUAUGUUGACAACUUCAGAUGUCAAGUAUCAUAAAAUUUGCAUAUUGGUCAUAAAGUCAAAUAAAAUUUCAAAAUAAUAAAUAUUAUAUAAAGUUCAUGAACAUUUCAUUACAUAACCAUUUUAGAGAAUAAUAAAAGGUAAUGCAUUUAAAGAAAAACAGCUAAAAAAUAAAUUAUUAGAAUAAUAAAAUUUGAAAUCUAAGUUGUCAUAUAUCAGUCUAAUACCUCAUCAAAGUAAUCAAAUGUCCUUAAUGAAAUGAGAGACAUUCAGGGAUGCAUUUACUACUUCAUGAGCAAGAGGAGUCCCACCAACAGAAAUAUUAUUAGCCUCAACAGUGGUUAUGGCAGCAAGAUUAAUUUUAAUGGCGUGAGAUUCACCACACUUGCCCGUAUUUUAUAAAUAUACUUGGUAUAGAUCAAUAAAGUGCUUUGCAAACGACAAGUACGUGACCAAUGCCUAAUCAUGCCACAUCGAUAGCAAAUACUUUCAUUAAUCACCUUUUUUUGGCUUCUUUCCUUUGUCAUGAUUCGAGCCAAAGUUAGAUUUCCUAAAGCGGUUAAAUUUCUCGACAUCCUUUCUAGAAUUAUGUUUUUACCUGUGUUUAUAGCCUUUAAAAUGGUUAAUAUUUUUCUUAGAGUUAGCAUGUGCUUCAGGCAAUACUUUUGAGCCAACAUGUCUAAGAUCAUAGUUUUUGAGCAACAAUUCAUUAGUUUGCUCAGCAGUGAGAAGCAUAGAAAUUAAUUCAAAGUAUGUGACAAAUUGACACUACUGGUAUUAUUAUUGCAAUACAAUAUUCGAAGUAUGGAAGGUGGAGAAAAUUUUCUCUAAUAGUUUCGCAUCGAUGACUUGAUACCGCAUAACUCAAGCCAAGAAACAAUAUCAAAUAAAGCUGAGUUAUAGUCAGACACUAAUUUAAAAUCUUGUAAUAUGAGAUAUUGCUAGUCAUACUAAGCUUGAGGGAGAAUAACAGUCUUGAGGGAGAAGUACACUAUCAGUGCCAUAAGUUGUGUACGACGCUCACUUUGAUACCAAAAAUUUUCAUUGAAUCACUUAAGUGCCAAAUCGGAGAAAAAACGAUCAUUUUGGUGCCACUGGCGAGAAAUUCCAACCAAAAUGAUUACGUUGCUUUUAUAUUUUAAAAAAAAAAAUCCACGUGGUUUAAGAUUGUCUACAAUUGAUGGCAUAAAACGACGCCAUUUUCCUUUCUUCGUAAGAAAUGACGUCAUUUCUUGCCAUCCACCGUGGAUACACAUAAGAAACGACACCGCGUUGCUCCAUAGCAAAAAACGAUGUCGCUGAAGAGGGAGUAAAAUAAGGUUCGUAUAUGGUUCUCAACGCCUGCUAUAGCUCGCUCACCAACCGUCGUUCACCCACCGUCGUUCGCUCACCCGCCGUUGCUCGCCCACCGCUGUAGUUGUGUCGUUGUUCACAGUCGUUCGCUAGCUGCAUCCCCAACUCUCGCUCACUCAGGUUUGUCAUGUUCUCUACGUUGGUUAAUUUAGUGAAAAAUUUAGGGUUCCGACGGGCAAGUUAGGACGCGGAGGGCAAAUUGAGGGCUAGGCUCAGGGGGAAAGUAGUUAGGAAAGUGGUGGGGAUGUCACUUUUAUGGGGACGGAAUAGAAAAAUUGAGGGUUCUAUCGUUCAUUCGUUUUCUGUUGUGGGGACUGAAUAGAAAAAUAGGGCGUGGAGGGGCUUGACUCGGAGGGAAACAGUGGUGGGACCGAAUUUGUUUGUUUAAUUAAUUGGACUGCUUCUGUGGGGGACCGAAUGUGAUUGAAUUAAAAAAUUGGUGGUGGGGACCUCACUUUAUUUAUUUAAUUUGGUUUCUUUUGUUUCUGUAAAUGUACCAAAUUGGGGAGAUUUUAGUUACAUUGUUUCUUGACAACAAAACGACAAUGACCUGCAUGUGAAGUUGCUGAUUUAAUCAUGUGGUCCCAACAAAAUGACAAUGACUUUUUUUUUUUCAUUGGGUGCAACAUAGACAUGGAUACGAAUCAGGUAAGCGUCAUUGUUUGCUAUGGUGGAGAGUUUGUUAUUGGUACUGAAGAUUGGGAAUAUAGUGGUGGAAAUGAAGGUACUAUCUAUGUCAAUGUUCGAAAGCUAUCAUAUAUUGAUAUUCUGAGAGAUUUUGUGUAUUUUUUACGAUGCAAAGUGCAAAAAUUACAUUACUGUGUUAUUGGAAAGGAAUUGAAGGAUGGGUUGAGAUUUUUUAAUGACGAUAAUGGUAUUAAGAAUAUCAUUUAUUAUUAUCUUCACGGUAAAGAAACUAAGGUAUAUGUUGAGUAUUAUAGUGAGGAUGAGGUUGAGGAUGGGGAUGAGUAGACCACCACUGAAGGAGGAGAAGUGAGGGAUCCUGGUCAAGCGAGUAAUCAGGUCGGGGAUGAGUUUAGCUUAGAUGAAAAGCAAAAUGAGAGGGAGAGAUGUCAUAUUGAUAGAGAUGAACAAACAGGGAGAUGUCCUGAAAUCUUGGGUGAAGAUGUGGGCGAUGAAGACUUCAUUGGAUUAGAAUGGGAAAUUGCUUUAUCCAGUGAAUCGGAAGAUGAAUAUUUGGCUUUAGUAAAUUUUCCAAGUGACGAAAAUGAUGAUGAACUUGCACAGUCAAGACAAAAGCAAAGGGAAUUUUUGAGAAAAAAACUUACAACUUCAACAAAGAGGCCCGAGCUAGUAAAUAGGGAUGGAGAUCCAGUUGAAGGUAAUAAAAGUGAAGAUAAAGAAAGUUGCAGCGAUGAAGUUGCUGGUUCGGAAAAUGAGCUUGACAAUGAUGAUGAAGGACCUGCUCGUCAAAGAAAAAGUAAGUACCAUUGUUAUGAUCCAACUGUUGGGCAUGAGAUUUGACGAUGCCAAACAAUUCAAGGAAACUAUUGUGAAGAACUCCAUUGGUGAAUAGAGAAGCGUUCAAUUCAUUAGAAACACAAAGGAAUUUGUGAGAGCUAAGUGCUCACAACCCAAUUGUUCGUGAAAGCUCUAUGGCGCGCAGAGUAAGAACGGGUCAUUCCAGAUUAGGUCAUUCCAGGAGGAACAUACUUGUUCAAUUAUCUUUAACAAUAAAAUGGUAACAAGUGUGUGGUUAUCAAAGCAUUUUUUCAAUACUAUCAGAGUAAUGUCCGAGAUCAAGAGUCCUCAAUUUCAACAGUUAGUGAAGGAGCAAGUGGGGGUUAAUAUGUCAAGGAAUCAAUGUAAGAGAUCUAAGAUGAGGGUGAUGAAGAUAUUGAUGGGUGGGUAUAAGGAAGAAUAUGCGCAGGUAUGAGAUUAUGCUGGCGAAUAUAUAUUUCAAAACUCAUCUAGUAGGGUAUAUGUAGAGGUUGUGGAGAGGCCGCUCCCUGAUCUUGGACCUAAAUUUGAUAGAUUUUAUGUCUGUUUUUAUGCAUGCAAACGGGGUUUCUUAGCUAGUUGUAAAAGAGUUAUAGGAUUGGAUUGAUGCUUUCUAAAGGGUUUAUGCAAGGGGGAGUUGUUGGCUGCUGUGGGGAGAGAUGCCAAUAAUCAAAUGUUCCCAAUAGCUUGGGCGGUGGUGAAGAUAGAGAACAAGGAUAUUUGGUCCUAGUUCCUAAAAAAUUUCAUAGCUGACCUUAAGAUAAUCGAUGGGGGAGGAUGGGCAUUCAUGAGCAACCAACAGAAGGUAAUUUCAUUGUCAAUUAAUUCACUCCCUUUUAAUAUUAAUCACUUGCAUAUUUUUCAUAACUUGUAUUUAUUGGUUUGAAUUUUUGUAAGGACUUAUUCCUGCAUUGGCUGAGUUGAUGCCACAUGUUGAGCAUAGAAUGUGCAUGAGGCACAUAUAUGCAAACUGGUCAAGGAACUUCAAGGGAGAUAGAUUGCAAAAGCAGUUCUAGCAUUUAGCAAAGAGUAAGAACAUGGCUAAUUUCAAAUUAGCCAAAUAAUGAUUGUUGCAGCUGAUAAAUGAAAGUUUUGAUGCACUCUUCCCAACGGAAGCUAAGCACUGGUGUCGAGCCUUCUUCAGCGAAGAGUUCAAAUGCGAUAUUAUUGAUAACAACCUCAGUGAAGCUUUCAAUGGUAGAAUUUUAGAGGCCAGGAGCAAACCAAUCAUCAGCAUGCUUGAUGAUAUUUGAGUUAUGAUUAUGACUAGACUGCAUAUGCAAAGAGAUGAGGCUACGAAAUGGAGCAGAGACUGUGUCCCUAGAAUUGUGAAGAAAUUGGAUGCAAACAUUGCUGCUAGUAGGUUCUGACAUCCAGUUUGGAAUGGAGAUAAUGGAUAUGAGAUUAUUUAAAAUCAGGAUAAGUAUGUUGUCAACCUGGAUAAGAAAAAGUGUUCAUGCCGAGCCUGGCAACUGAAUGAAAUUCCCUGUGUCUAUGCCAUUUGUGCUAUUCAGAUGAAACAAUAAAACCCAUAUGAUUACCUACAUGAUUGGUACAAAAAAAGCUCAUACCUUACUUCAUACCAAUUCAUGAUGCAUCCUAUUAGAAGUAACAAAUUUUGGGAGCCAACAAUCAUGAAAGCCCUCUACCUUUACUGCUGAAGAAGCAAAUAGGAAUGCCAAAAAAGAGACGAAGAAUGCAGUAGGAGGAGGCAUUAAGUCAGAGGAUGAGUAGGACUGGAUCAAAGAUAAAAUGCUCAUAUUUCCGCAAGGAAUGACACAAUAAGAAAUGUUGUGAGCUAAAAAAGCAGUAUCAACAACAAGAUGUAAUGGCUGAUUCAGUGCCAGGGACAGGACCUACUGAAGAGCUUCUUGUUGGGCCUAUUGAAAGUAGAACAGAAGGCCCUGCUGUAAUGCCUACUGAAGGGCAAAUAGAAAGUCAUGCUGUAAAGUAAGUAUCAUCUAUGCCUCAGUAACUUUACAGUUUUUAUUCGAUAUAGUUUGAUGGUUGACCAUGCGUACUAACUUCUCUUGUGCUUUUCCUCUAUCAUGCACUUGUAAUUUGAGAAGUUUUCUCCAUUUAUUUCCACCAUGAAAAUGAGUAGAUAUCUAAUUAUUCAUUAUAGUUGGUCAUAAUCCUAAUACAGUACAUUGUUGUAAGGCCUACUAAAGGGCAAGAAAAAAGCCUUGUUGUAGGCUCAAGUGUAGGGACAGGGACUGGAAUGAGUAGGACAGUAACAACAACGACUGAGUCCACUGUUGAGCAUACAAGAAAAAAAAAUCCUGUAAGUUGUACGUCGCUAUGUUUGGUCUUUUAUGGGCUAAAAUUUACAUUUGUUAUGUGUNNNNNNNNNNNNNNNNNNNNNNNNNNNNNNNNNNNNNNNNNNNNNNNNNNNNNNNNNNNNNNNNNNNNNNNNNNNNNNNNNNNNNNNNNNNNNNNNNNNNNNNNNNNNNNNNNNNNNNNNNNNNNNNNNNNNNNNNNNNNNNNNNNNNNNNNNNNNNNNNNNNNNNNNNNNNNNNNNNNNNNNNNNNNNNNNNNNNNNNNNNNNNNNNNNNNNNNNNNNNNNNNNNNNNNNNNNNNNNNNNNNNNNNNNNNNNNNNNNNNNNNNNNNNNNNNNNNNNNNNNNNNNNNNNNNNNNNNNNNNNNNNNNNNNNNNNNNNNNNNNNNNNNNNNNNNNNNNNNNNNNNNNNNNNNNNNNNNNNNNNNNNNNNNNNNNNNNNNNNNNNNNNNNNNNNNNNNNNNNNNNNNNNNNNNNNNNNNNNNNNNNNNNNNNNNNNNNNNNNNNNNNNNNNNNNNNNNNNNNNNNNNNNNNNNNNNNNNNNNNNNNNNNNNNNNNNNNNNNNNNNNNNNNNNNNNNNNNNNNNNNNNNNNNNNNNNNNNNNNNNNNNNNNNNNNNNNNNNNNNNNNNNNNNNNNNNNNNNNNNNNNNNNNNNNNNNNNNNNNNNNNNNNNNNNNNNNNNNNNNNNNNNNNNNNNNNNNNNNNNNNNNNNNNNNNNNNNNNNNNNNNNNNNNNNNNNNNNNNNNNNNNNNNNNNNNNNGGUGUUGGAUAUUAUAUCAUUGAUGGUAGUUGUUGCAUGCAUAUUGCCAUUGUUUUUUUUAAGAGGGUGCUGAACUUUCGGUGAUUGGAGAGUAAAGUUAGACAUGUUUUUCUUUUCUUUUGUAAACAAUCAAUCAAUGUUAAUGGCAAGUAUUGAAAUAACUAUUUUCUCUUGUAUUGAUUUCGGCUAGAAUGCUAGCAAGUCAGUUAUGCUGUAUAUUUUAUUUUUGUUGUUGCUGCAAUGUUGCUGUUACUGAUUGAAGUUGUGGAUUAUAAUGAAUUUGUAGGGUUUUAGUUAUAUGUGCUAUUGCAAGAACAUUUUGGGUGCUGGUACAUCUUGUUGCACCAACACUUGUAUGGACUGAUGCAAGAAGAUGCACUAGCAACCUAAUUGGUGUAAGAACAAGGUGCAAGUCAAGUGACGUUUGGUACUAACAUAUUCUUUUUUAAAAAACUUAUGCAACACAAGUGAUCACUUUGUAAUCGCGACUGGUACUUAAAUGAUCACUUUUAUAAAAACUUGACACUUAAACAAUCAUUAUUUACAACUUAUGGUACUGAAAUGGUCAAUCAAAUUAAUCCCUUAAUUUCGCCAUAGUUUGCAAUUGCAACAAACCAGCAAACCAACAAAGAGAUACCAAUUUAUGCAGCAAACUAUUAUAUCUGAAGCAAAAACUAACCAAAACAAACAUUGACAAUACACAACUAAACAAUAAAACUUUUAAGUGCUCACAACUAAUGCAUUCCAAAAGUACAUUCCAUUUCGUCAUGGUUUGUAGUUGCAGCAAACCGGCAAACCAUUACCAAAUAAAAAAUGCAGCAAACCAUUACCAAAUAAAAAAGAUACAGCAAACCAUUACCAAAUAAAAAAAUGCAGCAAACUAUUACCAAAUAAAAAAUACAGCAAACCAUUAUAUUUGAAGCAAAAUCUAACCAAAAGAAACAUUAACAAUACAUAACUAAACAACAAAACUUUUAAGUGCUCACAACUAAUGCAUUCAAAGUUCAACCUUACAUUUCUACCAUAAAUUAUAACAACAAAACCUUCUGCUCCAUACAAAAUUUGCAACAAACCAAAAACACAUUUUAUUUAUAAAUAAUCCAAUACAAGUACAUAUUCCACGUCUUCGACUACAGUAGACUUACAAACUUUUUCUUAUUACUCACUUCACAUUUGAAUAAAUUAUCCAAAAGAAUAAGAAUACAAUCAACACUCGAUAAAAGUUUCUUUCAAUUUUCAGCCUUGAAACCUCCCUCUUCAAAUGGUCCACCAGAGAUGUUAAACCCUUCAUUUGAGCUUGCAUUGAGUCGACAUUCUCCAACUCGUCCAUUAACGUAGGUGGAGGUUGAUUUCGGCUUUCAAGUAACUCCAAUAUCACCUCUGUCGCUCGAUCAGAGAAUUUCCUAUCAACCCAUUUGAAAUAUUGGCACUUCAAGCCUUCUCUAUAUCUGCCACACCCAUGGAAUCUUCUCUCGGAAUUCAACCGAGUCCAAGAUUAUCUUCUCGGACUCGGUAACCUACAAUAACAGUAACACUCACCAUCUAAUUCACUUUUCUUAUAGGAAUGUGAGCCGCUGCUGAAGGUUCUGUCCUCCAUUUGCAAGAGCGAGCUGAUAACUUUGGGAGAAAAUCGAAGUAUGCCUCAAAAUGGUCGAAUUAGAGAUUUAGGGUUUUCAACUUCCGUUCUAGUCGAAAUUGGGGAUUUAGGGUUUCUUAUUUGAGGGAAAACGAUAAACAGCGUCGUUUUGUUCUUUGUAUGCUGAUUGUAUUCUCCGGCGAUCCACGUCGGCGUCAAAAAUUAAUAAAAAACUACCACAUCGGAUUUCCAGCCAACCAAAUCGGCGGUAACACCAAAGUGAUCGUUUUUCAAAAAAUUUUGCACUUAAGUGAUCCAACGGAAACUUUUAGCAUCAAAAUAAGCGUCGUACACAACUUAUGGCACUGAUAAUGUACUUCUCUCACAGUUUUGAUAUAAUCAUACAUAUCUUUCAACUUCUUCCACAGGGUCUGAGAGCCUCGAACGGAUAAAUAUUGAGUCUACAAACUCUCAUGCAAAUGAUAAUGUAUAAAAAAUCAGUGCAUUUACUUUGUCUUUUGCAUUUGAGGUUCUGUAUUUGCAUCAGUGAGACCUUACUCUUGCAUUUCCAUGUCAAGAUAUCAAGAUAGAUUUCCACUCACUUCCAGGAUGUGGAAUUUGAGUUUUUUAAUAUUUUCCAUAAUUCUUGCAAAAAUGAAUUAUUAAAUUAAUUAGAAGGAUUUUCAAAUAUCCAUCGCCACUUUAGGAGCAGAAUGAUACUUUUAGAUUUGAAAUUAGUUUCAGGCCAAGAAAAAGAAAAAUUAAGAAUUUAUAGGAUAAGAUGAAGUAUAAGUUGAUUAAUGAAAAUAAAGAGAACAUUUACCUUACAAAAAUUAUUUACUCAGUUGAUAAAUUUUCGUGCUAACAACGUAUUGUAAAAUAUUGCAUUAUAAAUAUAUAAUAGAGAGAAUAGAGAGAGAUUAAGUAGAGAAAGCAGAUAAAUAUCAAAGAUAGUAGAGAAAGUCAGACACCAAAAAUCGUAGAGAAAGCCAGAGGAGAAAUUUUUAUUUCACUAUUUUAUUUUCCUUUUCUUCACUCUAUCACAACUAUAACAAAACUAAACUCAUAUUUAUAAGAAAAUAAGAAUGCACUUAUCAUUAAUGUUAAUGUGUUGAAUAAUGUAUAUAUUGGAUAUGGAGAUGUACUUAUAAUGUAGGAUACAAACACACCAUAACAGGUACAUUAGACAAGAUGAAUAUAAUGAAUAUUCAUUCAUGUAUUUCAUUCAUUCAUAUAUUUCAUGACAGAUGAGACAUUUUCGCUCCUUACUAAUGGGAGCAAUGACAGUCAACAUAGCCAAGGUUUAGAUUGAAGGUGAGUGAAACUUUUGGGCAGAAUAUGUAGUCUAUUUUUUUAUACUUGAGAAUUUUGAUUGAAUUUAUACUAUAUGAAUGAAAAAAUUACAAACCAAUUCUAAACCUAUUUUAUAAAUACUACUCAAGUUAAAAAGCCUUUAAAAUUGUCAAUAUAAUCUUAAAUUUUUAUGUGAAAUUUUAAUGUAAUACACAGUACAAUCAUCUUCGAUCAUCCUACAUAACAUGAUUGAGCAAAUUUUCUGAUUUUUUUCUUUUUCUUUUCUUUUUCAUUUCCUCACUUCUGUUCAUCUUGUCAAGCGAGGUAGCUUCCCAAACUCUUUCUCUAUUGAUUUCGUAACAGUCCGCCAAUUUUUGUGUUUUCAUGCCAAUUUGUGCUUGCGAUGCCAUGCUUUGUGUGUUCCAGAAUCGCACCACAUCGCAUCGGCAUUCACUGAAACUCAGUUUUGCGAUUAAUCAGGUAGUUCGAAAGGCAAUUACUUCGUCAAGGUCUUAGGCUGAAGAUAUCAAAUUCGAGAAUAAUCAUAUGUUUCUCGUUUUCAUGGAUUUUGUUGCUGUUCGGAGUUUGACUUGAUUUAGGUUUGGUGUUCCUUACGGUUCGGGCAACGAAUUUGGAGUAGAGAUGUUGAGAGGCCUUCUUAGUGAUAACUGAUAAGAAGGGUUCUCUGGCACAUUCUGAUACGACAAAAUGUAAGGUCUCUUUACCUCAAAAGCAGACACAAUGGAGAAGAAUGCAUACGGAAGUAGAUGAUCAGUAGUGCAAAAAAAAAUAAAGAGAAGAAAAUGUAAAUGAAAGAAAUAAAUAGAUCAUAAAAUUCAGUAAAAUCAAAAAGACGUCAUUUUGUGGUAGUUCUUUCACAUUGACGCAGUUGUGCCAUAUAAGACGAUGGGCGAUGAUUGGACUGCCACAUCAGCAAUUUCUGGCUACAAUUGUCACUUCCCGAUUCUCCAAGCGCGUGCCCAUCCCUCUGCGGUUGAUUAAAUAGCGACGUCCCAGGACACAUCGUUGACCCAUUCAUUUUAAUGCACAUGCGGAAGCAAAUAAAUAAUCCCCAGACAACAACAAGAUGAGAUAGGAAAGUAGGGCCAUAUUUUGAAAACCAACACCACGACACACUUAUAUAUAUAACAAACCGAGUCAUAUAUAUACAAUACAAACCACUCUAUUCACAAGUUUACAAAACAUGGAUGGUUUCAACAACUACGGGUCCUCAUCCUCCUUGUCAUCUCCCUCCACACUCCAACUAGAGCCUACUGCUGAAUACACAUGAGAUUCCGGAUCUUCAAGGUCAAGGUCCACCAGGUCUACCACCGAACCUCCUCGAGGGUCUAUAAUGACCUUCCAAAAGCAACCUCCAAUACAUACAGAGGUAUCUUAGACUCCGGUAUAUGACCCUCUUUUUAGCCAUCCUGAGCUUGGCGGUACCAUGAUUUGUAUCGGUGGGGUACCUUUUUGGGUAAACCCGCAUUGACCUAGACUAUGGACCUCACUAGCUCAUAGGUCCAACCCCUAGGGCUCCCAUGCAACGGAAUGUAAAAUGUCUGUUUUGUAACCUUCUUAAGCUAUCCAAAAUGCUCAAGAGGAGCUGUCAUCUAUGGACCUGAAAUGUUAUCACACGAUGGGGUGAGACUAUAUCUCAACAAGUUCAACCCCUUAAGUCCUAACUAGGAAGAAAAUACGCUCUAAGGUUGCCUAAGCACAAACACGAGUCAGAGGACUUACUUUAGCCUUAGUCUCUUCCUGCAAGUCGACUCAGUCGAAUCAUCAAUCAAUCGACUCAGUUGAUUACAUGUCAUCAUAACCAUUCCCUGGUCAUCUCAAUUAAUACUAUCUAUAAAAUCCGUCCACCUUGCGGACAACUUACUCUAAGCUGAAAAUAGAUAGUAUAGCUCACUAGAAGCUACCAGAUGUACUGAUAUAAUAUACUAUUAUGCUCGCCAGAAGCUACCAAAUAAAUUGAUAUAGUAUACUAUUAUGCUCGCCAUAAGCUACCAGAUAAACUGAUUUUGUAUACUAUUAUGCUCACUAGAAGCUGCAAAAUAAACUGAUUUAGUAUACUAUUAUGCUCGCCAAAAACUGCCAUAUCGCCCGCAGGCUAAUAUGAUGUACCAUCAUGAUCAUCUAACGAUUUCGUUAUUUUUAUCAUACCCGAUAAAAAUACCCGUGUGUGGGUACACGGUCGGUUUUAGCCAAAAUAUAAUAUUUUCUCACUUGAAAAUCCCACUAAUUUCAACAGUCCACAAAUUCAUUUUUGGCGCUGUAAACCGACACCCGGUAAUUUUUCAAUUAAUUACCAAAAUCAACAAUUUUUGAGAUAAUUACCCACAAGCACAAAUCACACUCAAUUUGUAUAAAACAAUAGUCAAUUAAAUAAAUAGAUCACACCACUACAAGCAACAUAAAAUUCCGAUCAUCGGUUAUCUUGGUCUAAUUUUUGAAAAAUAAUUAAUUAAUUAAUUAAUUACGGAAAAUAAUUAUUAAAUGCAAAUAAAUAGGACUUGGGCUCGUAAAGCCUAAUUGAAAGUCGAGACGGGCCAAAAAAUUUUCGAACCACUCUAGAUAAAUACUAGAGCUUGUCUAGACUCUAAUUACACUACUCUAACCACCUAACAUGCAAUAACAAUUAAUUAAAUUGCUAAUCUAAUCUAACUAACCACAUAAUCCUAGAUUAACUUAAACUUAUCAACCCUUAAACAUCAUUAACUUACUAAGGAAGGAUUAGUGAGUUAAACUCACCUAACUAAUGAUUCGCUCAGAUCAAAACGAUGGGGACACGGCGGGGAAUGAUAAACUCCAAAGCGAGACUACCAAAUGGGGUCAGGAAAGCCUUGAAAACAAGCUGAAAAGUGCUAGUGACAUCCACUGGUUCGGCUUCUGAUUUGCGGCUGAAAAGGCUGGCCGGUUGUUCGAUUGAGGCUGAAACGGGUAGGUGAAGGCUGCAGCAGCUCCGGUGGGGCUUCACGACGGCAGGUGAGCAAUCCGGCGACUCUAGCGACGACAAGGGUGCUGCGACUGGAUCCUGAGACAUCCUAGGAUCACGGUGGAGGCGGGAUGGUGGCCUGGGACAACGGUGGUUUGCGGUGUAGGCGAGAUGCGAGCAGGGCGCGGGGAUGCACAACGGCGAACGGCGGCGACGCGGUGGUCAGACGAGCUGUUGGCUCGAUCUUCUGGGUUGCUAGAGCUUCAAAUGGUAAAGGAAAUGAGGAAGAGGGGUCGACGGUGGAAGGAGAGAGGAAGGAGGGGGCCGGCUAGGUUUCCUCAUCUCCUUGUCCCCCAUGCUUGGCCCACCACACCAGCUGGCCUACACAGCCCAAUUCCAAACCAAAAAGCCCCUUCUAGAAGGCUUGAGGAGGUUCAAUUGUUUGGUCCAUGGGGGUGCUACGAAUUUUGAAUGAAUUUCCCCCAAAUUGGACUUCAUUCCUUCUUGAAUCAACUCGAUUCGGUCUCUAUAAAUCCCACUGACAUAUCAUCAAUCAAAUUGGUAUUUUUCCAAGCCAAUAGAACCCACUUGCAUCCCAAUUUCAUGAUGAUAAACGGUCAUCUGGAUUUUUUUGGACAAAAACAACCCUACCUCGACUUUUUCCCAAAAAGUCUCGGUUUGUAGAAAAAUUUUCAGAGACUGAGUCGACGUUUCUAAAAUGACUUGUGACAUGAAAGAACUUUCAAUUUCUGAAAUCGGAUUCAAAUUCGCUGUUAAUUUCAAUCUAGCGCGAUUUUAGUGUAACCUAGGCUACCGGUAGCUUUUAGAAAUUUAUUAGUGCAAAUAACCCAUGGUCGAUUUUCUUCGAACCGCAAUGAACCUAUUUGACACAUUGGCGACUCGGUGGUCAUAAAAAUCUCGAGAUUUCAUAUACGAACACAGGGUACCAAAACAAUAGAAAAGUCAGUUUAGUGCGAUCGACGAGAAUUUUGCAAUUUAGUGGAAUCGCCCACGUUUAGCCACGCAUCUCAGUCGAAUCGACCUAUCUCUGAUUUCCAAUCGAUCUUACUUUAUCGUAAUGAUCUCUGCAGAUAAGCAAGGUCAAAUAGUUGAUUCCUAGUCGAAUCCUCAAGUUUAAUGCAUUAAAAUCUCUUAUUGACUUCCCCAGAUAGUUUAGUUAUCUCAGGAGUAAUCAGCUUUGAGAAUAGCACUAUAGAUGCGUCGAUGAAAUACCCGAUUUAUUUAAUUGAAAACAGAACUAAAAAUCCAGGAUAUCACAACAAUUGAUCAAAAAUAUUAUAUUAGCAAGAUUGGAAAUUUUAUUACUGAAUUAAUAUCCAUAUAACAAGUUCGGGCUUGUAUUUAUAUUUUUUCCUAUAUAUAAAUUUAAGAUAAAAACAAGUUCAAUUCAAAAUUUUGUAGAUUUUGUUCUUUAUUCUUUAUGGGAACCUAAACAAGAAUCGGGACAAGAGGAUACUUUUUUCUUGGUUGUAAUUAAGUCAAAUUUUAAGAUAUGUUGCUAAGCUGGAACUUUUCCACAAAAAACAUUCAAUUAAUUGAGGUUGGCUUCUUUCCUAUUUAAUAUGUUUCUAAAAUGGAAAGAUAUACCUAAAUGUACAUAUUUUGAAUACGAAACCGAUAUAUAGUGUUUGUCAAAAAAAUCACAGUUUCUUAUAUCAAAAUAAUACCAAGAAAAAGAUAAUAAAAUAGAAUUGUUGAUACAUAUAAGUUAAGAUCAGACCACGUCAUUAAAUUACGUCUUUGAGAUUGUACAUAUUUGCCCAUUAAAUACAACAUAUCGUAAUUUACCAAAAGCAAACUGACAUGGACUUUGACAAAGUUUUUUCGAAAAAGGGUUUGAGCACGAAACUCAAGGUGGGAUUAAUUUUUAUAUACAUUUUUUUUAUAUCUAUAUAGUACAUAUGAGAAAAGAAAUUGGGGAGGCGGGCGCCUCCCCCUUCCCUCCGUGGCUGAUGUCGAGUAUAUAAACCAGGUUGAUGAAGUUUCAUUAAGGUACUCUGAAGUUCUACAAAUCCGCCAAUUGAAGCUCCGUAAUUGAGUGAUAAUUUUUAAUUGGAAAUUGUAGUUUUUAAAUAUUGUUACUUGUCGGUAAUUUCAUGUUAAUUUUAAACAGAAUUCGAGCUCUUUCAAAUAUAAACUAAAUAGACUUGUUUAUUCCACGAUCUUCAUUUCCGUUUUUAAUAAAAUUUGUUUUUGUAUAGACAUAUGGUGUCUACUUUGUAAAAUGUAUACAUAGAUGUCUUCUCUAAAACUAAUUUCCAUAGUUGAAAUUAGCAAGAAAAUUUUAGGGCGGUAGUAGCACUUCAACUAGCAAGAUCGCCAGUUAUUAUUAGCCUUUUAAUUGAGAUUACUUUAAAUCAUGUUAUGACGAAGGAAAAUUCUCAAUGUUAGUCACCUUCGCCUCUGUUUUUGUCCUUGCUCUCUUACCAGUUUGUUUGUCCUAUGAAGAGAAGGAGGCAAGAGAGUUCAACCAUAUGAAAUACAAUGGCAUAACAUUAACCUAAGAGCUAGAAAAAGACAAUCUCCAGCGUAAUCACUAUCAAACUAAACUAGACCAACUCCCUCUUAACAUAAUACUAGAUUGUGGGGACGUGUGACAAAUACACAAAGCUUUUCCAAUCAAACUAUGCAUGAUUCUCUAAACAUUAUCGCUAUGUCCAAAAGGAAAAGUAGUGGAAAUUAUAUGAGCGCUAGAUGAGGUUGAGAAUGUUUCUAGUUCCAUCUCAGCUUUGUCAUUGUUGACUGACUCAUCCGGUGGGUAAAUAAGUGGUUUUGGAGGCAUUUGAAGUUUAUCAAUAUCUCCUUCAAGCAUUUCUAGGACUUUGUUCAUUGGAGGCCGAUGAUCAGGGUUUAAUUGUAUACACCAAAGUGCAACUAUUAUCAUCUUUUUUAUCACCUUCCUUUCCUCUUCUACAACUUCUUCCAUUUCAAUACUUUCUCCUCCAUUGACUUGAUGGUACACCCACAAGGGAAAAUAAAUUUCGCUUGAGCGUUCCGCAUUUGCAUUCAUGUUCUUCCUUCUCCCUGCCAUUUCCAUAAGCAACAUCCCGAAGCUGUAGACAUCCGCUUUAUAAGAUACACCGCCAAUGUUUUUGUAGAACAACUCAGGCGCCAUAUAUCCCAGUGUUCCUCUUGCAGAAGUCAACGAGACUAUGCUAUGAUCAGUAGGAUAAAGUCUUGCGAGUCCAAAGUCAGAAACUUUCGGAGUGUAAUUUGUGUCUAAAAGAAUGUUGUGAGGCUUGAUAUCAAAGUGUAAUAUUUGCAUGUCACACCCACAAUGUAAGUAUUCAAUCCCCCUCGCCACCCCAAGAGCGAUCUCAUAUAUUUUCCUAUAACCAAGAAACUCAUCACCUUCAUUAGUGAAAAUGUGUUUAUCCAAAGAUCCAUUUAACAUGAGAUCGUACACGAGAGCUUGUUUGGAGUCUUCAAAGCAAUAGCCAAUGAGCUGCACUACAUUAACAUGGUGAAUUAUUCCAAUAGUAGCCACUUCACUAAUAAAAUCUUUGCCAUGAGCCUUGGACUGCUUUAAAAUCUUGAUGGCCACUUCGCUACCACUUCUUAGUGUUCCUUUGUAGACGGAACCAUACCCCCCUUCACCCAGUUUGUGCUUAAAAUUCCUAGUGAUCUUCUUAAUAUUCGAGUAAGAGUACCUUAUGGGUAGGAAGUUGUUAUGAGCUUGCAAGAAUUCUUCGAUGUUCUUGUCAUUUGCUAAGUGCCUUCUUCUGUAGUUAUAGACUAGAAAUAUCGCAACAAAUGGCAUUCCGAUAGCAAAUUUUGCUAAACAAAAACACACUGAGGAAAUUUUGAUAGGUUAGAAUAUUUUUUUAAAAAAUUAUUGUAAGAACAAAUCAUUGUGGCUUACCUAGUAGAAUUGUAACAUCUGCAAUUGUCACACUUGCUAUCAUAAAUGCAUAAUCGUCGACACCUGUGAAAGGAAUGAAUGAUGUGAUAAGGAACUGAAGGGAAAAAAAAUUUAAAACAAAACUCACAAGGAAAACAAAGUAGUAGCAAGCUUCUUUGUAUAAGUUGAAUUUUGUGCAAAAGAAUACGAGAAGUGGGAUGCAUGCAUCUACAAAUCAAUGGAAAUAAUAAGCUUCAUCUCACAUAGAUGAUAGACGAUGCAAGAAACUCCAUUUGCUUUUUUACAAAUCAACAAAUAUAGAGAAACAAUGAUAUCAUCUUUUAAUCAAUAAUUUAUUUCUUCUUAUUGGUAUAUGGAUACAACUUCUUAAGGAAUUUGUCAACAAGCGUCUUCCAAAUCAUUAGCUAAUUAACAAAUUAAGGAAUUACUUAAGAAACUAAUCUAUAUGAAUACAACUUUUUAAGGAAUCUGUCAACGAGUGUCUUUCAAAUCAUUAGCUAAGUGACUAACUAAGGAACGAAUUAAGAGACUAAUCUAAACUCCAUGCCAACAAAAAACUAGUCAUGUAGCUCUAGCUUUUAUGUGGAAAGGAAUUGUAAUCUAGGCACAUGUUCAUGUGCAAGUCGGUCUGUUUGGGAUGACUUCUACCGUCAACUUUUUUUUUUUUUUUUGCCAAUCUUACAACUCCAAGGAUCUCAUUUUAAUAAGUAACGCCAAGCUCCGAAACCUUUCAAAUACACACAUGUUGACAUAUACUAAAAUUUAUAUUUUUUCAUAAAACUUUCUUGGAUUUUAAAUAUUUCUUUCAUUUCCAGUUUUGAAGAGAAAGCAGCAAGUGAAAGAGUGUUCAAAAUCACGCAAAGUUGCCAGAAAAUUUGGUUGCCAAGUGAUGCUUACCGUAGUAUUUCGAGGAUCCGCAAACCUGACCAUUGUAGAUACUAUACCAAUAAAAAAUGCCAAAGAGAGUUCUUUUCCCAGGUGUCCUCGAAUCAAAUGUGAGAAAAAAUCCAUCGGCCAUGAUGUUAUGGAUUAGCUCAUAGUUGUAGGAGCUACCAUUAAUCUGCUCAAAAUCAGCUGAUGCCCACGUCCACCUACUAAUGGUGCAGAAAUCUUUAACAUCCGAUACUUUUGGAUUGACCAAACCAUACAAGUUCCAAUUAGAUGAUUUGUUGGAAGAAUACGACCCCUUAAUGCAUGGACCAGUAGAGAUGUAGAGUGGAGAACUAAUUGGCUUUGAGCAGUUCACAAUGGCCAAUGUACGUCGAUUGACGGCAUAAAAUGAUUUAGGGACGUCGAGGUAUGAUUCGCUUGGAUAGACAUUGUCCACGAGGUUAUACCACAUUAGUGAAUGAUGGGGGAGAGAUGAGCAAUUAUCCUUUUGCAACCCAUCGUCGACUAAUUUAAUUUGUCCGACGGAAUAAUUGAUGGAUUGCACAUAAAAUCGGUCACAAUUGAGGUAAUAAACAGUGCGAUUAUCUUCACAAACCAACUCUUUCUUGGGGUCACCACAUCCUCUCGGGUCACUCUUCAUUCGAAAAGGCUCUAUUAUAUUAUGAAUGUUACCACACGAUGAAGCGACGCAUCGCGAAUCACUCAACCCGGCAUUGCUAGUCAUCGCUCGUAAUAGAACAAGAACGAGUAGCAACACUAGAUAGACAUUCAUGCAGUUGAGAGCCUUAAUCAUGUCUCUGUUCAUCUCUGGGCAAGGAGAAAUUCGUAAAGAAUUGCUUGGUCUGCGUUUGUGGAGAAGGCACGUAAUAAAAGGAUUGAAAAGAGAUGGAUGAUCCUCGUUUAAUUGGAGACUUGGAGUCGCCUUUUACUGUAGAAAAGGCCAAGUCAAUCAACGUACUAAAUGCAUGAAAUCAAGAAAAUUGAAAGAUCACCUCUAGAUACAGCGGAUUUAGGACAUUUCACCCAUAGAAAAUUCAAAAAUCUUGCUUCAAAUAUGAUCUCUCUUUGUCCUCUUAUCUCCAAGUUUCUUCCACUCUCCACGUGAUUAUUGGGUCUACACGAGGGGGAGUAGCUCAAGAGUUGGUCCGGGUUCAAAAUAACUCAGAACUUGCCAUGUUGGCACAAUUCCCUAUUCUUGAAACCUGAAGUUACUCUGUACACUUGGAACCUAGAAAAUACCUAUUGAGACCGGUUCUCGGUACUAGAGACAAACUCACAUAUGACAUGAUUUAUGCAUUUCAUCGAACAUGUGAUAAGUACUUUCAUGAAGGUGUUUAUAUUCAAAGCAAGUGAGAGAUUAACAUCCAUAUCAACGCAAAACAUGUUAACGUACUAAGAAUCACCAAGGUAACAUCAAACUUGAUUGGAGUUUACCUUGAGAUGCCGCCAGAUUUAAAACAUUAAACGUAAAGAGGGAGAGGACACACGGAGCCGCAAUAGCUAAAAGGACCACAAGAAUUUCGAGAAGUCUCCUAAAAUGUCU
rnacentral:lncRNA from 1 species